AUUGAACGCUGGCGGCAGGCCUACCACAUGCAAGUCGAGCGACCGGCGGACGGGUGAGUAAUGUCCGGGAAACUGCCUGAUGGAGGGGGAUAACUACUGGAAACGGUAGCUACUACCGCAUACCAUCAGAUGUGCCCAGACGGGAUUAGCUAGUAGGUGGGGUAACGGCUCACCUAGGCGACGAUCCCUAGCUGGUCUGAGAGGAUGACCAGCCACACUGGAACUGAGACACGGUCCAGACGCCUACGGGAGGCAGCAGUGGGGAAUAUUGCACAAUGGGCGGAAGCCUGAUGCAGCCAUGCCGCGUGUGUGAAGAAGGCCUUCGGUUUGUAAAGCACUUUCAGCGGGGAGGCGUUACCCGCAGAAGAAGCACCGGCUAACUCCGUGCCAGCAGCCGCGGUAAUUC
rnacentral:rRNA from 1 species